UACGGGGGGGGCAAGCGUUGUUCGGAAUUACUGGGCGUAAAGGGCUCGUAGGUGGCCAACUAAGUCAGACGUGAAAUCCCUCGGCUUAACCGGGGAACUGCGUCUGAUACUGGAUGGCUUGAGAUUGGGAGAGGGAUGCGGAAUUCCAGGUGUAGCGGUGAAAUGCGCAGAUAUCAGGAAGAACACCCGUGGCGAAAGCGGCUCUCUGGAACGGUACUGACGCUGAGACGCGAAAGCGUGGGGAGCGAACAGG
rnacentral:rRNA from 1 species